CAAAUCAACAAGAGGGGAAGCAAGCAAGUCAGAGGACAGAAGAGCUGAGCCACCGUGCGGGAGCGACUGGACCGAAGGGUCUCAGCAAUCUCCUCACACAGGUUCUUUCAUGGACCAUGUUCUGACAUCUUGUCCACUCAACCCGCCCAGGCAAAGUUUGUCAGAGAACCGCUGUGUAAAUAUCAAGAAGCUAUAAACAGCAUGGCCUCGGGGUGAAACCUGCCUGAGGGUUAGAGUCCAGCUGCUGCGCUCACCAAGUAAGCAUUCUGAUGGAUGUGUCCGAUCUCCAUGCAUCUUUACCAUCGUUGCCAUCCAGUCUUAGGUGAAAGGAAAGGGGAACGAAAAAGCACAGAAAUCAUUACAGGAACACAUAUGGAGUUGGAAUUUUCUAAAGAGACUUACACUUCUAACUUGAUUAAAGUAAUAUUAUCCAGUUGGUAGAUGACUUAUAAUUCUUUCUAAAAUAAAGAGAAAACGUACUAUGUUAA
rnacentral:lncRNA from 1 species